rnacentral:lncRNA from 1 species
GUGCUGUUUACGAACUGCCCUUCGUACAAAUAACAUCCGUUAUACAAAGAUACAAGAUCCGGGUUAUGCACAAUUCCAGGCUUGGAGGUGGCAGGGGGGCAUCGCCUUUGGGCUGAGGAUAUCAAGGUUUUAGAAAGAAUGAAAAAGGAGCCCCUGGGUUUGCAAUCUGUGGCUUCCCCUCCCUGCUCCCUAGGAAGGGUCUGCUACAUGGAAACAGGUUGGGAUAGAAAGGGGGCGGGACGGGAGCAGGGGUGAGGUCUCCAGUCCCACCACCCAAGUCCCAAGUUGAGCUGGAGAAAGUGAACAAAGGGGAAUGAAGGCACCCCUCAGUUCCCAACUUUUCAGUAGGUCAAGACAAAGUGGUCGGGAGCUAGACACACUCUCAAUCCUGAUGGACAUGGUGGGAGAGAGCCAAGGCUACUUGCCCACCUUCCUUGGAAUUCCCAGUUGAAGUUACCUCAAUCCCUCUAGGCACCUCUCCCCAGGAAAAUAAGUUGAGAUAAAGGAGAACUGGGUGCAAGCUGCCUACCCCUAACUGGCCCAUUGCACACCAAGGAAGAUCCUAGAAGCUGGCAGGGGGAGCCUGUGCCUUUGAAAACCUGUCUUCAUUUCCAAUUUGGGAGAGAGAAGCGUGGAGGUUACCCUUUCUCGGAGCUGGCCCCUGGCUUGGGCUCCUCUCAUUUCUCUAGACCCUUCCUAAGAGUCUGGGGUGAGCACCUCCCUAGAACUCAGUAUGGGGGAAACAGGCAGGGGUCCCCUCAUCAGCCUCAAGGUCAGGACACCUUGAGGCAGCAGCAGACCCAGGAGCCUGAGGGGGAAAAUACCCCACAAAUAGGAAAAACAAACCAAGACAAUCCUUAAAGUGUCAUUGUCCAUGGAGAGGAUCCACCAGCUCUGAGCUAAGACAGUCAGUGCCACAUAGACACCCUCCCACCCCGGGCACAGCCCUGCACUCACACCGUGUGUCACACACACACAGGGACAGCCAGCCAGCCAGCCAUGUGGAGACCAUGUUGUGGGGCAGGGGAACCAAGGGCCAGGAGGCCACAGUCCUGAGGGCUUGUCCUGGCCCUGUCACUGAGCCCCUUCUAGGCUUGGAGCUGUCAUCUGUGAUGGGAGGAGCUGGCUGAAAUGACCCCUAAAGACAGGUCCCUUUGGCGCUGGCAUGCACCAGUUGUGACCCCACAGCAGGCACUGCCUCUAUAUGCACCCCCACUCACACCUCCUCACUGAGGGUGGGAACACCCAACUCCACAUGCUCACCCACUCACACCUCCUCACUGAGGGUGGGAACACACGAAGCUCUGCUCUCAUGCGUUUCCAAACUCUGCUUCCGCUCUGCAAACCACAUCCUUCCCCUCCCCCAGACAAAGAGAUCUACAAAUCUGGGUCCCUUCCCACCCUCCACCAUUCACUCUCAAAAAAGGGACUGAGGUUAGGAGACGGUGAGAUCGUUACAGCCAUCCCCCUGCGUUGGUAUUCUGCUCCUCCUGAAGCUUUCGAGACCUUUCCCAUUGAAGCUCCCUGAGAAGGAAAUGCCACUACCUCUCUCAUGAGAGAUGUGGGGGGGAAGAGGAGAAGAGGGCUGCACCCGUUCAUACCCAGCCUGGGCCCCGUCUUCAAAUCUAACCUAACCGCCACAGUAGUCCAGUCUGGGGAAUGCAAGCGGCUUGGGAAAGUUGGAGAACAGCCACUUGGAGAUGAGAACCCCAGCCUUUGGUUUGGGCUGAGGGAGGGAAGAAGUGUUCUGGGUGGGGUGUCUUGGUUUCAAUGCACAGAAUCACUUGGACCUCUCACUCUUCAACAUGGCAACCUCGGGGUAGACUUACUUCUCUUCCCAUCCAGACAAAAGUUAAGUUUCGCUCUAAGUGGGCCAGCCUUGGGCAAGGGCGUGGGUGUGAAUGAGCAACUCUUCUAAGAAUCUCUGAAGGUUACUUUUCUUUUCAGUGGUUUGGGGCAGGGAGUUACACAGCUUAAUAGAUUAAGAAGAAUAAAAUGCUGAAUGCUAUCAUUUCUUUCUAACAUAUUUAGCAUUAAUAAAAAGUGAGUAUUUCUGAGGUCAUCACAACUGCCUCCCCCUCCCCCAAGCCCUUGCAAGUGCCUAAGAAAUUGCCUUUGAAGGAUUCCCACCCCCCUCCAUUAUCAGCUCCCUAACAUCUUACAAAGUCUUAUCAACAGGAAUAUUAAUAUUAUUUUCAGUAUCAGAAAAAAAAAACAGUUGAGCAGCACAGGCAAAAAUAUAUCUGCACUACGUUUCUGUCGUUGCCAAAAAUAUACACAUCUUCUUUUCUUUAUUAAAAAAAAAAAAAAAACCCAACAACAAAAACCCAAACAGAAACACACACAGAAAAAUCCACACAUGCAAAGAGACUGACAAGGCCGGAGCCUGGGGAAGCUGGAAACCCCUACCCUGGGCUCCAACCCCAGUGCAACUGAAACAGGGACACAGGCUUCGCCUUGCCUCUCGCCUCUCUCCUGACUGUCCACUCAGCCUCUGUGC